UCCUCCCCCUGUGGUUUUUAGUGCUUCAGUGACUUUUGCAUUUCACAGUGUAACCUUUCUGUGUCGUAUAUACAAACACAUACCAGUUGCAUCCUUUGUAGAACUACGUGGUUUGCGGAAAAAAAUGUCUUGUUUGCCAUGUUUGAAAACCAUAUUUUAUAGAGAAGUAUUUUAAUUUUGCCUCUUUUUUUUUUAUUUUUUUUUUUAGGAAAAGUCAAAAUAAUUAAAAAAAAAAAAAUAGGAAAGAAAACGAAAAACAAAAAACGCAUGCUUUUUAUGGAGAAUAAUGUAUACUACUACACACCUUAUUAUAAUAAAGAAUGUUUGGCUGACUAUUGUGACAAAAAGACAGCAAAGGGUUUGGACAUUUCCCCUUCUUCUUCUUGUUUAUGUUGUUCUUCUCUACUAUUCUGUUUCUCUUGUGUAAAAUGACCACCAGACCCAUUUGACUGGGGACCCGGGGUGGAGACAGGUGUAGAUGUUGGCCGCAGCUUUGCUCUCUUUGGUCGGGGUAAGUGCGGGUUGGUGCUCCUUUCUCUCCCCAGCCUCUCAUGAUGUUUGCAAACUGGCAGAGAAAGAAAAAAAAAAAGGUUUGCAUUUCAGUGGUGAAUUCUGGCAAUCACAGGUGUCCUUUAAUACUUUUAUUUUCAUGCAAAAAAAAAAAAGGACAAAAAUCACGUUGAGAGCUGGGGAGAGGCACACAGAUGGAAUGGCUUGGGUGCAUUUUGAUCUGUGGAGCCGUCCUGUUCCUGGGGGUUGAUGGGUGUGCGUCUGGUCUGGUCUGGUCUCCUCCCUGCUCCACCAAAUCCCGCCCCCUCCCUCCCUCCCUCCCUCCCUCUUCUCGUGUGUCUUUGUGUCCACUCUACUCUCAGACCUGCAUGUGUGAUCAUCUGUAACUUUGCCGCAAAAAAAAAACAAACAAACAAAAACAGAACACACAAAAAGCCCCGACAGUCCAGCUCUGAACUAACUAUCUCAACUGAAUUAGGUCACCGUGCCACCUGGAACGGGCAGCGAGCAGCCUUGUGUUUGGCAGCGUGGGGACAACUUUUAUCGCAACAACCAACGCAGCGGGAACUUGUUCUCUCUCUCCUCCUCCUCCUCCUCUUCACCACCAAGAGGCGUGCCCAUGGACAGUGUAUGUGUGGACUCAGAGGGACUUCAGUGAUGGACGAGUCGCUUUGCUGAGUGCUGUGGUUUUUGCUCGGCACGGCUGUGAAAAAGGGAUCUUAGCUUCAAUAGAGAAUCAAAAUCAAAAACACUCAACCUCCACCUGCAGAGGUUAACAAUUUCCUAACCCUCGCAAUCCCUCGCAGCCUGUGCGCCAAUCAGAAACGUCCUAUAAGAUACGGCCGGGGUGUGAGGCCAGUCUGACCUGUAGAUUCUCAUCAAUCUCAGGGUUCCUAUAGGACUUCUCUGGGAUGGCGGCUCUGUUUCUGUAAUCCCUGCGAUCACCUGGGACUGGCUGGAUAUGUGUUCUGUGCGUGUUCUUACCUGGUAAGAUUGCGCUUGUGCUGAGGCGGAGAGCUUUAACCGUCGCGCGCGAACGCGACAGCUGUGGGAUGCAGUCGAGACAAAGAGGGGCUUUGUCUUCUGCCUAACAAAGAAAAGGAAAAAUGGUAGAAGGAGUGGAAUGAAUUAAAAAAAAAAAUGAGUUGAACAUAAGGUGAGUUGACAGAAAACUCUGCUCCUAACCCCACUUUCCUGAUCUUGGAGGAUGUUUUUGUUGAAUGCAAUAAUACAUUUCUCACUCCAAAAAAGGUCCUGUUUAUUAUCAUAGUGAGUCCUGAUGAGUGACGCUGCUUUGCCUCUUUAGCCAAGUUCACACUAUGCGACCUUCAGAGUCGGAGGACCGCGUCGGUCAUAAAGACACGUUUUUUGAAAACAGGUUCGUUCAUACUACGCGCAUCAGCAACCGUCAGGUACUGCAAAUGUUUCUCCACCGCCAAUCAAGAGCUGAUUGUGACGAAUAGCUCAAUCUUAUCUUUUGUUUUUUUUAGAUAUGUAGAUAUUACAUGACCACAAGAUGGUCAUUUUCAUCUUUGUUUGUCGUUCCAGAUUGAGUAGAUUCUUGGCCUCCAUGAUCAGGACAUGCUUUUUUUCCCACCAUAUGUUGUUCCUCCUUUCACCACUCUCCCAAAUCCUCACUAUAAAGGUUAAUUCAGCUCAGCUGCUUGUGCGUCUGGGCUUCCUGUGCUUGGGUGAAUGCAGCCACGCAUCUCUGAAACCCCCGCCUCCUCUGUACUGACAGCUAAAGCUCGCUGCGGCCUCCUCCCUACUUCUUACUCCCUCCCUCCCGCCUUCCCUCCCAGAUGUUCUAGUCUGUGUGUACACACCUUUUUGUUUUGUGUUGUUCUGGCGGGAUUCCACAGGUUUAUCAGCUGAGACGCACAAGUAUGCAGCUCUGGGCGUUCACCUACUGCUGUUAGGUUUGAGCACAAACUCGCGAGCCUUGUUUCUUCUAAGUGAUACUGUUCCGCUCAGUUCGGUAAGCUAAACGCUCAAAGGGUUGCGAAGGGCACCAAAACCCAUGAAUCUGUAUCGUCGCUUGGUACGUAACGGGUGACACAAAUUCCUGCGUUAGGCACGGGUGGCGUUUGGUCCUAGAGGUAGCUAUCGGAGAUUAUUAGGACCAUGUCUGUCAUGGCUGACGACAUAGCAAGAGUUGCUAAUCUUGCUAAAGAGUCGGCAAUGUCCGCCAUUGUUGGCUGCCAGCUGCAGCUAAACGCAUGCAUUUGAUUUGAGUAUCCUUGCGUACCCUUUUCCAUGCCCCUACCAGGUACAUGUGCGACGCAGGCUACACACGCUCUGUAGUGGAAAUGCAAACCAGAAUCAAAGUUUACCAUUCCCAACAGUAUGACUUGGUGGAAACACAUAACAAUUGCCUUUUGGUUUAAUCAAGUUUCAUUCAUGAGUGUUUUAGUUAUUCUAGCACAGAUGUCAGACUCUACCGCUGUUGGACCUUCAGGUAAAAACACCAGCAGUAGAGUCCUACCUCAGCCUUACCUCAGGGUGUGGACUCAACAUGAAUCCUACUGAAUGCAAUACAGUCUGACACAGCAUCGCUGCAUUCAUUCAUUCAUUCAUUCGUUAGCCUUCCUCCAGUGUUCGGUCUAAGACUCUAUCUUGCUGCUUCAAGACCUAAAGGUCUCCACGCCGAGUAUCUGUACUGCUGAUCACCACGUUCAUUGGUUAUUGAAGGGUUUUAUUCAACUUAGUCAUGCCAUGUCAAAAAUGACCACCAUAGGAAAUGAAUGGGUCUUCAUAAUGUUCCUCCAAUAACGUCUAACGGUUCGCUUGACAGACUUCACACGAUCGAUUUGACAUUGUUGGGAUGAGGAAUGCUAGAGAAAGUGGUGGAAAUCGCUAAAAGAGAGAGGCUUAUGCCAAUCUUAAUCUCUAAACUCAAGAUUAAGGCUAAAUACCAGCACAAGACGGGUGUGUAGAAGGUCUUUGAAGAAAUAGUUCAAGAGGGCGUGAAACCAAGAGGUAAACGUAGUCCGCCAACAACUCAGCGGGUCCUGGCCGUCAACCAGUCCCCACCAGUCUAAUUUCCUCCGCCGGAAAGCCUCGCUGUUACCCAGGGCCGCGUACACUAAAUACUCUAUGCGCUUACUCGUUUGGCGACCUUUGACCUAGCAUAGUCUUGGUGAGAUCUUAUGGAAACAAGCCGAGCACAAUAUUUUGUCAAGUUUGUCAAGUGCCUUUUUAUGUAUUGACUGUCGUCGACUGUCACCUGCUUAGGACGACACGUGCUUUUGUUCCACUUAAUGUAAGAGCAGGUUAAGUGCCACCAGGAACACUGGAGAAAGGCUUAAUACAUGUUUUGUUUUUUGUACUAAAAAUGUGCAGUGGUGUUGUAUUGGCUUGUAUAAUAUCCUGACUGUAGAGGCCAUGUCUUGUCUUUUUCUGUGGUCCAAAUGUUCCUUUUUAUAUGAUCAGACCUCUUUAUCGCGUUGACGGUGAUCGACGUUUGAAAUCCCCUCAGCUCGUUAGCAGCGUGCUGAUGUAAAUACAUAAAAGCGGUGUUCGCGGAGAAGUAGCACAGUCGGCGUCUAAAGCGUCAGUCGUCAAGUGGGUUAAUGAACCGAGCUGUACUUACACGUAAAAAGCCCGAGUAAUUACAACGUACAGCAGUUUAGUUUCCGGGUGACAGAGUUACUGCGUCACCGACCUGUACCUGCUCAUUUCAAGCAAAUUAGCUCAAGCUGAAUUUUUAUAUUUGAUGAAUGUUGUCAUGUUUACUGUGUUUAUCACACGUCCUGACAUAAUUGUAAAUGAUACAGUCUGCUUGUGUAUAGCAUAUAUUUGCCUUUUAAUGUGUAUUGUCCAUUGCCGAGUCAUUCAUUUGCAUGCAAAUCCUGAAUAAAUCCGUUUUUUUAAUCUCA